rnacentral:lncRNA from 1 species
UCAGCCUAGAGAAGAGGAGGCUCAGAGGAGACCUUAUUGCUCUCUAUAACUACCUGAAGGGAGGUUGUAGUGAGCUGGGGGCAUCACCUGCACUGCUUGUGGCAGCAGGUUAAACAUCCAAGCCAGCAUCCAGAGUGGCAUCAGGGCAUCUGGCUGGUCGUUUAUUUACAGCUGUCUGGUUUCUCUACAAAAUGAAGAAUGAGCCCAGAAAAGAAAAAUAUGCUAAUUGCAACCAGAAACGGUUGUCAGUAUGGUAACGGACAGAACAUAAAAAUAAUCAGGAAACACUGGCAUAUCCAAUUGCAUGCAAACAUCCUAGAUAUAACGUUUCCACUGGACUGGUUAGAAGAAUGAUCGGUAAUUUAAUUAAAUAUCACAACUCCCAUUGAACAUGGAAUUUCAGAAAACUUCUAAGAAAAUGGCCAACAGCUCUGAGAUGGCAUAUUUUGCUGUAGCAGAUAGCCUUACUGCUGAUUUUCUGUGACACUGGAGUUUCUUUAUCUUAUUUGCCAUCAGAAAGUGUCCGCAUAUAGUUCUGAAAUAAUUCUCAAGAAGAAAUGUUUGCUGCUAAAUUUCUUCACUAAACUCAAGAGAACAUCUCAGGCUAAAUCUGCUUUUGGUCCUUAGCAUAGGGCAGGGGAGGAACAGUCCCACAGUAAGAGGAACAAGGCAAAGUUUUAAUGGGCUGUUUUCCAACUGCUUCUGGCUUCCUGGAGAUGUGACAGUUAAACGGGAUGUUUUGCUGGCCUCCUGUGGGAUGGGAGUCCAAGAAAAGCACCAACAUGUCUGCUACUUGGAUCCAACUCAAGCCCUAAAGUGGGAUAAAUUUAAUUGGCAAUGCUGAUACUCCUUUCCUCUUUGCAAAUAUUCAUGAAAUUUUGUGUAGUUUGCAAGCAAGUGUAGACUACUAAAAUACUUUGUGAAAUAGAAUUAACAUUUCCCUCCAGCUCCUAUAAAUUAUUUAUAUCAGUGCU